UACGUAGGGACCAAGCGUUGUUCGGAUUUACUGGGCGUAAAGGGCGCGUAGGCGGCAAUUCAAGUCAGCUGUGAAAUCUCCGGGCUUAACUCGGAACGGUCAGCUGAUACUGCUUUGCUAGAGUGCAGAAGGGGCAAUCGGAAUUCUUGGUGUAGCGGUGAAAUGCGUAGAUAUCAAGAGGAACACCUGCGGCGAAGGCGGGUUGCUGGGCCGACACUGACGCUGAGGCGCGAAAGCCAGGGGAGCGAACGGG
rnacentral:rRNA from 1 species